rnacentral:tRNA from 1 species
GUGCCCGUAGCUCAGUCGGUAGAGCAUUCGACUUUUAAUCGAAUGGCCGAAGGUUCGAAUCCUUCCGGGCACA